UUGAAAGGGAAACGAUUGAAGUCAGUCGUACCUGUGGGUAAUCAGCCUUUUGGGUGUGAUUUUGUGGAGUGUGAGGAGUUAAACGCCUUCAUGCCUGCAUAUUCGUGCACUUUGGGUGUAUUUACCCGUGUGGUAAGUUAACAUCAAUUUCGGUGAUCAUAAAAUGGCUGGAGGAAUGUAGCUUCGAUCUUGUAUUGAAGUGUUAUAGCCUUCGGUAGAUGUGAUGAUCAGGAUUGAGGAUUGCAACGGAUACCCCUCGGGGCUACCUGUCUGAUCUCUGAUCGUUGCUCUGGUGCCGAAAGCUUGCUUACGGUUAUCAAAGUCGAUGGUCAAUAGGUUAGAACGGGUUAAAUUCGUUAAGGAUGUUGACGUA
rnacentral:rRNA from 1 species